rnacentral:rRNA from 1 species
ACGCACGCUGGCGGCGUGCUUCACCCCUGCAAGUCGAACGGUGAAGCGCCUUCCUUUUUGGUGGGUGUGGAUGAGUGGCGAACGGGUGAGUAACACGUGAGUAACCUGCCCCCUUCUUCUGGAUAACCGCAUGAAAGUGUGGCUAAUACGGGAUAUUCUGGGUCUGUCGCAUGAUGGGUCUGGGAAAGAUAUUGUUUCGGUGGGGGAUGGGCUCGCGGCCUAUCAGCUUGUUGGUGGGGUGAUGGCCUACCAAGGCGGUGACGGGUAGCCGGCCUGAGAGGGUGGACGGUCACACUGGGACUGAGACACGGCCCAGACUCCUACGGGAGGCAGCAGUGGGGAAUAUUGCACAAUGGGCGCAAGCCUGAUGCAGCGACGCCGCGUGAGGGAUGGAGGCCUUCGGGUUGUGAACCUCUUUCGCCAGUGAAGCAGGCCUGCCUCGUUUGUGGGUGGGUUGACGGUAGCUGGAUAAGAAGCGCCGGCUAACUACGUG